rnacentral:rRNA from 1 species
UAGGGAAUCUUCCACAAUGGGCGCAAGCCUGAUGGAGCAACACCGCGUGAGUGAAGAAGGGUUUCGGCUCGUAAAGCUCUGUUGUUGGAGAAGAACGUGCGUGAGAGUAACUGUUCACGCAGUGACGGUAUCCAACCAGAAAGUCACGGCUAACUACGUGCCAGCAGCCGCGGUAAUACGUAGGUCCCGAGCGUUGUCCGGAUUUAUUGGGCGUAAAGCGAGCGCAGGCGGCUAGAUAAGUCUGAAGUUAAAGGCUGUGGCUUAACCAUAGUACGCUUUGGAAACUGUUUAACUUGAGUGCAAGAGGGGAGAGUGGAAUUCCAUGUGUAGCGGUGAAAUGCGUAGAUAUAUGGAGGAACACCGGUGGNGAAAGCGGCUCUCUGGCUUGUAACUGACGCUGAGGCUCGAAAGCGUGGGGAGCAAACAGGAUUAGAUACCCUGGUAGUCCACGCCGUAAACGAUGAGUGCUAGGUGUUAGACCCUUUCCGGGGUUUAGUGCCGUAGCUAACGCAUUAAGCACUCCGCCUGGGGAGUACGACCGCAAGGUUG